rnacentral:rRNA from 1 species
UAGGGAAUCUUCCACAAUGGACGCAAGUCUGAUGGAGCAACGCCGCGUGAGUGAAGAAGGCUUUCGGGUCGUAAAACUCUGUUGUUGGAGAAGAAUGGUCGGCAGAGUAACUGUUGUCGGCGUGACGGUAUCCAACCAGAAAGCCACGGCUAACUACGUGCCAGCAGCCGCGGUAAUACGUAGGUGGCAAGCGUUAUCCGGAUUUAUUGGGCGUAAAGCGAGCGCAGGCGGUUUUUUAAGUCUGAUGUGAAAGCCCUCGGCUUAACCGAGGAAGCGCAUCGGAAACUGGGAAACUUGAGUGCAGAAGAGGACAGUGGAACUCCAUGUGUAGCGGUGAAAUGCGUAGAUAUAUGGAAGAACACCAGUGGCGAAGGCGGCUGUCUGGUCUGUAACUGACGCUGAGGCUCGAAAGCAUGGGUAGCGAACAGGAUUAGAUACCCUGGUAGU